rnacentral:lncRNA from 1 species
UUCCAUUGUUGAAAAAUCCAUUGAAUUCUCUCUGUUCAUUUGAAUUAAAACCGGUCUCUUAUCCCCUUCCUCCUAAAAAGAAAUCAUUCUUUUUCUGUAGAGAUGGCCAGCAAUUUACAAGCUGCUGCUAAGAUUGCUACCAAUGAGGUUAUUAUUAUUUCUUCUACUUCUGGCAAUGGACAAAACACACUUUCUAUGGUCAACGAAGUUGAUCUUAAUAAUCUAAACAAUGAGCAAAUGCUCCAGUAUAUCAAAAGAUUGUAGGCUACUCUGGAGCAGUACAAAACUCGAGGGAAGGCGUCAUUCAUGGCUUCUAG